UAUAAUGCAAUGCAAGAGGCGAAAUAUUAAUAUAUAUAUUUUUUUCAUAUGAAUGAUACUGAAAUUUUAUUAAGAAAAAAGAGGAGAAAAUAUUAUAAAAUCACUGAUUUGAAGUGAUAGUUGGAGAAGACCUCAAGCAUCCUCAAGUAGAUCUGAAGCGCAGUUGUGCAAACAAGUAAAAUGCGUACCACGAAUUAAGCUCAAGCAACUGAACCAUCUGAAGCGCAGUUGCCAUGGCGGCUUGAAGCUGGAGCUCAUGAGACAAGUUGAAGCUGGCUGCUGAAGAUGAGUCACACUCUCUGACCAAAUACAAUCCCAUCCCUUCGAAGCUGCAAACUCAAUAACCUUAACAAUCGCAUAUAUCUCAACAUAAAACAUGUUUGAUGGCCAAGAGGCAUUGCAAAAUUGCCUCGAAAGCGCCAUUGCAACUACGAAACACAGCACUACAACAAGCUGCGAGUCAUGGAUUACCCCAUGUCAAAUCAUUUGUAUUGAUUUUGAUCCAAGUAGCUCUUGGAAAGACGCCAGAUUCAAGCCAUUAAUGACAGAAGAAGGACGGCCUGCCACAUGACAAAUUCAAGGUUGAAUAGAUAGGCAGAGAUGUGACACCAUUUCCCGGACGAACAGAUCCAAGAAAGCUAAGGUGGCUAGUUAUAAGUUGGUUUCUAUAUAUAUAUAUAUAUAUGGAAAGUGCAAUGUACAUGGCUUUUCACUAUUGAAUUUGGA
rnacentral:lncRNA from 1 species